AGCAUGUUAGCUCAGGGGAAGAGCGCCGGGCUCAUAACCCGGAGGUACGUUUACGAACUCUAACCAAACAAAGACAAAAUCUAACAGAUAACAGGACCCUGGAUCGAAACCAGGACAUGCUA
rfam:Aspergillus terreus NIH2624 scaffold_3 genomic scaffold, whole genome shotgun sequence.